CGGUGACAAACCGGAGGAAGGUGGGGAUGACGUCAAGUCAUCAUGGCCCUUACGGCCAGGGCUACACACGUGCUACAAUGGUCGGUACAGAGGGUUGCCAAGCCGCGAGGUGGAGCUAAUCCCAUAAAACCGAUCGUAGUCCGGAUCGCAGUCUGCAACUCGACUGCGUGAAGUCGGAAUCGCUAGUAAUCGUGAAUCAGAAUGUCACGGUGAAUACGUUCCCGGGCCUUGUACACACCGCCCGUCACACCAUGGGAGUGGGUUGCUCCAGAAGUAGC
rnacentral:rRNA from 1 species